rnacentral:rRNA from 1 species
AACGAACGCUGGCGGCAGGCCUAAAACAUGCAAGUCGAACGAACCUUCGGGUUAGUGGCGCACGGGUGCGUAACGUGUGGGAAUGUGCCUCUGGGUGCGGAACAACGUCGGGAAACUGACGCUAAUACCGCAUAAUAUCUACGGAUCAAAGAUUUAUCGCCCAGAGAUCAGCCCGCGUCUGAUUAGGUAGUUGGUAGGGUAAUGGCCUACCAAGCCGACGAUCAGUAGCUGGUCUGAGAGGAUGAUCAGCCACACUGGAACUGAGACACGGUCCAGACUCCUACGGGAGGCAGCAGUUAGGAAUAUUGGACAAUGGGCGAAAGCCUGAUCCAGCCAUGCCGCGUGAGUGAAGGAGGCCUUAGGGUUGUAAAGCUCUUUCGGCUGUGAAGAUAAUGACAGUAGCAGAAGAAGAAGCCCCGGCUAAAUUCGUGCCAGCCGCCGCAGUAA